GGAGAGUGCUAAGAAUCGCGCGGCUGGCAGGUGCGGCCACCGGGACGCGCUCGCAGGCUAGCCAGGGACGUGCGCACCUUCGGGGCGCUCCACAGCCCUGGGACGACGCCACCAGGUUUCUUCUCUUCAUUCACUCACCCACCCACCCACCCAUCCAUCCAACCGCAGCAAGCGCUGUUCUAUGAGGCCACAACCUGACCCAAAGGACCCCGCCCCCAUCGGCCGCCUAAACUCCAGAGCACGAGCAAGAAAGUGGAGGGCCACGGGCUGCAGCGUAGCCGAGUUUGAAUACUGGUUCCAUAGCUGGCUAGCUGUACGACCUCGGGCAAGUUAUCACAAAACAGGGAGAAUCCCGGCACCUAACUCGGAACGGUCACAGGCUGAGAUGAUAUUACUGUGUGAAGUGCGCAGAGCGGUGUUGGGCACAUGGUCAUCGGAACUAUCUCUUCUAGUGUUCUAUUACAAGUAGCCCCCAGUUAUCUCUUGAAGGAAACUGUAAAACAAUCUUGCCAAUGAGAAGGACGGACCUGGAUCAUUUUUUAGCAUAGUAAAAGAGAGAAACCAGAGAGAAUGAAUUCUAACACUCAAGUUUUGGGGGGAAAGAAAAGACUUUAUUCUUUGCAGGGGGUUUAGAGCUUUACCUGAAUUAUCUCAUUUAACCCUCACAAUUCUCAAAUCGUUUCAUUAUCAUAUUUUACAGAUAAGAACUGAAGCGUGGCAAGAUUAAGGAAGUUGCUCAACUUCACAUAGUCAGAACAUGACUCUAGGGAGUAGAGGCUAGCGAAGUGGGGUGCAAGAGGUCAUCCAAAUUUCUUGAAAUACCAGAUCUUUUUACCUCAUCAUAUAUGUUAGAUUGUCAGUUUUAUCGUUUUCUUCCCAGCUUUAUUAUUUGACAAAAAAUUAUAUAUAUUCAAGGUGUACAAUGUGAUGACUGGAUAUAAUUAUACAUUGUGUAAUGAUUACCAAAAUCAAAUUAAGUAAAACAUCCUUCACUAAUUUAUGUAGUAGUUCGGUGGGGGGGCACUUAAGCAAAUUUGUCUUAGCAAACUUCAAGUAAACAAUACAGAAUUAUUAGCUAUAGUCAACAUGUUGUACAUUAGAUUCCCAGAACUUGUCUUAAAACUGAAAACUUGUACCAUUUGAGAGAGAAGUUUUAGUGUUACUGAAAUCACAGACUUCUGACAGAAUUUGCAGGAUGCUAUACACAACUACACAAAAGUGCAAACAAUAGUUUCUUGGACCAAGAGUCAAAAAGGUCACUUUUUUAAUAUAUUAGUCAAGCAGACAGGGCUAUACUUUAUAAAUAAAUACACAUUAUCUGGGGAUAAGUGUUUAAAAAAUUCUUUACUCAUAUAAUACAAAACAGGCUUGGGGAUCAGUCUUGAAGCAUGAAUUUUUACCCAGUGGGCCAUGUUGAGGGGGUUGCAGCACAGGCCCAGAAAGGAAAGCAGGCUGGGGCUCUGAGGGCUUGUGAGACGAGGACGCUGGGCUGAGAAGAUAGGGCUUCACUAGGCGGAGGGCCCCAGGGUACCCCAUACACAAGCCUGCCUUGGCUUCUCGUCCAAUUUGGUGCAUCUCACACUACACAGCCCUGCCCCACCCUGGUGUCAGCAGGCAUUCAGAAAGCCUCACACUUCUGCUCCAGUGAACACUGCCAGGAUAGCCCUCUGAACUUCCACCCACCCAUCUUCUGCCCAUUUGUUUUCUUUGUCUUCAAUUCCACUGCUACCCAUCCUACCCCAGUCCCUUAGCCUGACAAGGCCCAAGUGUCUCCACCCUGUGCUGCAGGGCAGUUAAGCAGGAUCAGAUGCCGUGCCAAUGGCCUGCUCUGAGCUUUGGCCUCUCUCUGCAGUUGUAUCUAAUAGAACAAAUACAGUAAUUGUGGAGCUGAGCUUAAAAUAUUCAGACCUCAGGUUUCAGAGUCUGACUGGCAUGGGUUUGACACCUGCCUCUUAGAAGCUCUACUUCUGGCCAGGCACGGUGGCUCACGCCUGUAAUCCCUGCACUUUGGGAGGCCAAGGCAGGUGGAUCACGAGGUCAGGGGUUUGAGACCAGCCUGACCAACAUGGUGAAACCCCAUCUCUACUAAAAAUACAAAAAUUAGCUGGGUGCAGUGGUGGGCGUCUGUAAUCCCAGCUACUCAGGAGGCUGAGGCAGGAGAAUUGCUUGAACCCAGGAGGCAAGGCUGCAGUGAGCCAAGAUCGCACCACUGCACUCCAUCCUGGGUGACAGAGCAAGACUGUCUCCAAAAAAAAAAAAAAAAAAAAAAUUAGCCAGGCAUGGUGGCGUGCACCUGUAGUCCCAGCUACUCAGAAGGCUGAGGCAAGAGAAUCGCUUGAACCUGG
rnacentral:lncRNA from 10 species